rnacentral:lncRNA from 1 species
CAUAUCAUAGGGAACAUGUGUACUAAGUUUCAAGUUGAUGUAACUUUAACUUCAUCAAAAACUACCUUGACCAAAAACUUUAACCUGAACUUUGCACUAUCAUUUUCUAUGUUCAGUGGACCAUGAAAUUGGGGUCAAAACUAUAAUUUGGCAUUAAAAUUAGAAAGAUCAUAUCAUGAGGAACAUGUGUAAUAAGUUUCGAGUUGAU